GCUGGGUGUGGUAGCGCACGCCUGUAAUCCCAGUAGCUCGGGAGGCUGAGUUAGGAGGAUCGUGAGGUGCAGCCUCAACUCAGUGUGACACAACUCACUGUGACACAACUCAGUGUGACCCUGUCUCUA
rnacentral:sRNA from 1 species